ACGACCGUAGCUCAGCUGGUUAGAGCACCACCUUGACAUGGUGGGGGUCGGUGGUUCGAGUCCACUCGGUCGUACCA
rnacentral:tRNA from 38 species